rnacentral:rRNA from 1 species
UACGUAGGGUGCGAGCGUUAAUCGGAAUUACUGGGCGUAAAGCGUGCGUAGGCGGUUCCUCAAGUCCGUUGUGAAAGCCCCGGGCCUCAACCUGGGAAUGGCAGUGGAAACUAGGGGACUGGAAUCUGGCAGAGGGGGGUGGAAUUCCUGGUGUAGCGGUGAAAUGCGCAGAUAUCAGGAGGAACACCGGUGGCGAAGGCGGGUCUCUGGGCCGAUACUGACGCUGAGGAGCGAAAGCGUGGGGAGCGAACAGG